rnacentral:rRNA from 1 species
AGUACGGCUGGCGGCAGGCCUAACACAUGCGAGUCGAGCGGCAGCACAAGGGAGUUUACUCCUGAGGUGGCGAGCGGCGGACGGGUGAGUAAUGCCUAGGGAUCUGCCCAGUCGAGGGGGAUAACAGUUGGAAACGACUGCUAAUACCGCAUACGCCCUACGGGGGAAAGGAGGGGACCUUCGGGCCUUCCGCGAUUGGAUGAACCUAGGUGGGAUUAGCUAGUUGGUGAGGUAAUGGCUCACCAAGGCGACGAUCCCUAGCUGUUCUGAGAGGAUGAUCAGCCACACUGGGACUGAGACACGGCCCAGACUCCUACGGGAGGCAGCAGUGGGGAAUAUUGCACAAUGGGGGAAACCCUGAUGCAGCCAUGCCGCGUGUGUGAAGAAGGCCUUCGGGUUGUAAAGCACUUUCAGUAGGGAGGAAAGGGUAAGGUUUAAUACGCCUUAUCUGUGACGUUACCUACAGAAGAAGGACCGGCUAACUCCGUGCCAGCAGCCGCGGUAAUACGGAGGGUCCGAGCGUUAAUCGGAAUUACUGGGCGUAAAGCGUGCGCAGGCGGUUUGUUAAGCGAGAUGUGAAAGCCCUGGGCUCAACCUAGGAAUAGCAUUUCGAACUGGCGAACUAGAGUCUUGUAGAGGGGGGUAGAAUUCCAGGUGUAGCGGUGAAAUGCGUAGAGAUCUGGAGGAAUACCGGUGGCGAAGGCGGCCCCCUGGACAAAGACUGACGCUCAUGCACGAAAGCGUGGGGAGCAAACAGGAUUAGAUACCCUGGUAGUCCACGCCGUAAACGAUGUCUACUCGGAGUUUGGUGUCUUGAACACUGGGCUCUCAAGCUAACGCAUUAAGUAGACCGCCUGGGGAGUACGGCCGCAAGGUUAAAACUCAAAUGAAUUGACGGGGGCCCGCACAAGCGGUGGAGCAUGUGGUUUAAUUCGAUGCAACGCGAAGAACCUUACCUACUCUUGACAUCCACAGAACUUUCCAGAGAUGGAUUGGUGCCUUCGGGAACUGUGAGACAGGUGCUGCAUGGCUGUCGUCAGCUCGUGUGUGAAAUGUUGGGUUAAGUCCCGCAACGAGCGCACCCCUAUCCUUAUUUGCAGCACGUAAUGGUGGACUCUAGGAGACUGCGUGAUAACGAGA